rnacentral:tRNA from 1 species
GGACCCAUAGCUCAAAGGUAGAGCAGCCUGCUCAUAACGGGAAGCGUGGUGGUUCGACCCCACCUGGGUCCA